GUGCUCACUUUGGCAGCACAUAUACUAAAAUUGGAACAAUACAGAGAAGAUUAGCAGGGCCCCUGCAUGAGGAUGAUGCACAAAUUUGUGAAGCACUCCAUAGUUUU
rnacentral:snRNA from 1 species